rnacentral:tRNA from 1 species
GCUUAGGUAGCUCAGCGGUAGAGCAAAAGACUGAAAAUCUUUGGGUCAGCGGUUCAAAUCCGCUUCUAAGC